GUCAGUGAAUGCUAUUCUGGAGAACUUGAAGACAGUUUAUUCUCAGCUCCAACAGUCUGCUUUGCAUUAUCAAUUUGUUAAGAAACUCUCUCUCUCUUUUUUUUUCGUGUAGAACUGUGCAAAAAGCAACUUCCAUCCAGACUGUCUGAAUUAUCCAAAAAUUCUGAACUGAUGGCAUCCAAAUGAAUAAGACUUUACAGAGCUGCACUGGGAGAAUUGAUUGGAUUUGUCAGUUUUCCUGUGGAUACGAAGUCCUGGGUGGCUUGACUCCCAAAGAACUGACCACCCGUGAGCUGGAAAACAGACCUCAAAGCAGGAAAGAAACAGAAGUGUCCAAAGAAGAUGUGGAAAACACAACCCAGAAAAAGCUGACCCUCAAGAAAGAAGUCCGAUUCCAGACCGGUGUCAGUUUCCAGAACUGAAGAGCUAUAUGUGCUGA
ensembl:lncRNA